rnacentral:rRNA from 1 species
CAGUCCUACGGGAGGCAGCAGUGGGGAAUAUUGGGCAAUGGGCGCAAGCCUGACCCAGCAACGCCGCGUGAAGGAAGAAGGCUUUCGGGUUGUAAACUUCUUUUCUCAGGGACGAAGAAAGUGACGGUACCUGAGGAAUAAGCCACGGCUAACUACGUGCCAGCAGCCGCGGUAAUACGUAGGUGGCAAGCGUUAUCCGGAUUUACUGGGUGUAAAGGGCGUGUAGGCGGGAAAGCAAGUCAGAUGUGAAAAACAUGGGCUCAACCUGUGGCUUGCAUUUGAAACUGCUUUUCUUGAGUACUGGG